GUAUUUCCGCGGGCGCUGAGCACUAGAGAGAGCGUCUUGUGGCUGCGGCCUGCCCCUCAGCCUCCUCCGCGCGGUUACCCCUGUACCCGCCGCCAUCCGUCCUGGCGCUCCGGAUGAGUCAAUGAGGGGCAGGGCCCGAGGAGUGGUCUUCCCAAGAACCCCUGGUGGCCUCCCAAGGCCGGUGCUGUGUACCUCCUCCCCGACAAAAGGGGAAACUGAGGCCCCGAGGGGAGUGGGAAGAGCCGGCUGGACGUCAGGCCCAGCCGCUGGUGCAGUGGUCCGUCCCCUCUGCCGGGGUGGGCCCCUCGGGUUUCGCGUGUCCUCGGGAAAGAGACUGGCGGGUGAGCCGCGCCCUCGGCCUUCGCUGGGCUAAGCCGACCCCAUGCAGACGUCAAACCCCCCUAGGUCGGCACAGCCUCUCUGCGGGGAGGCUUAGUGCCCCCUUGAGAAACGGCUUGGCAACGCUGUGCCCGGGGCCUUGCACGCGGGCUGAGGGGGCUAGAGACCUCGCGACUUUUACUCCCCCGACCCCGAUCUCCGACUCCUGACUUUGGAAGCCCCCAAAGCUGCUUUUCGGUUGCCUACAAAGUGUCGGUCAUUGUGCCACGUCCUUGGAACCGUGAACUCAUUUUCUCCUCAAUAACCUUUAAAAAGUAGCUGUAAAACCUCCAUUUUACAGACCAGUUGGCUGAGGUUUAAAUGGAGGACGCUCCCAGGGCCCCAGAGGGGCGAAUUCCAGACUCCUUUGCCAGGACCUUGUACUAAGCCCCUUCCCUACGCUUUUCCCUGCCUAGGCCUCGUGGGCUGUGCGGCUAUCCUGGAGACAGAUGACAGCUCUCCCUUGGAUGGCUUUGCUGGUUCCGCACCAGCCAGCGCCCCCAUUUUUCCUGCAGCACCCUGAUCUGCACUCCCUGAGGGGCUCCCACUGUCCGCGGUGUGAGGAUGUCCCUGGGUAAGUGGUGCUGGUCAUGAGCACUUUGGGGGACCCUUCAAAUUCCCUUCUGGGGGACCCCAGCGGAGGGCAUGGUCAUGAAUUCCGAGAACUGUAUGGCAAAGCCGGGUGCAGAGGAGAGCCUGGCUAAGUUCUUUCAUUCUCCUGAGCUUGACUUUCUGUAAUGUAGGGAAACUGCGAAAGCUCUGUAAGUGGGGAGAUCUUGCACGUUUUUCUUGCUUUUGAACCCAUGAUGUCUGGCUACUUGUAGAUACUCAAUAUUUGUGGGAUGAAUGAACAAUUUAAGCCUUUUUUUUUUUUAACCAGAAAUUGGUCUUCUGUGACUUUCUUGAUGGGGGCAGAUGAGAUCUUUGUACUGCAUUAAGUGGAUAGCGCUCAGGUCCUUUGGGCUUGGCGCUUUGGCAAUCUCCAGGCAGCUCACUUUGGCCUCUGUUCCUGGAUCCCCUUUGCUCUUUUCUGCGCCUGCAUUCGUAAGUGAUCACGGGCUGCCCGUGUCCUGGUCAUUGGUAGUGCAGGCAGAGGAAAUGCGGGAAAGGUUGCUGUGUUUGGAGGGUCCACAUCUUCACCCUCCUGUCCCAGGAGCUUUCCUACACUCCUCCUUCUCAAAGCUGCACACACCUGGGGCCUCCAGGGGAUUGGGGGCUGCCGUGUGUGUUAUAUCAUGAUUAGAGCUUUCACUUCCUGCUCCCUGCUGUUGGGAACCAGGCUGUGUGUGUUGCUUAAAUUCCCCUUGAUGACCAGCAGAGUCACUGCCACUCAGCCAUGGCACACUGCUGUAAACCUGGUUUUGAUCUCCUUUCAAUCUUUUGCUGAUUAACUACACAUUGAUCAGUGUUGGCCACCCUCACCCUGCCAUAGACCAUCCGCUGUCUUCCUCUGUAGAGUUAACUAUUUUCUCUUUUAUGAGGAAAUAGUGUGUUUGCUUAGGAGUGUUUACUGUCUGGUAACUACUGUGCUAAGCCCUUUCCUGUUGCCUGCCAUCCCUGCUGCGAGCAGGGACAAGCUGGGUGCUCACUCAUGGCAUCUUAUCUGUUGCAGAUAGUCCACUGUGUGCAGAGGCAUGGGAGUUGUCAUGUUGGGAACAUGCUAGACCUCAGUAUCCUUGAGGGAUGCUGCCUUGGGUCUGGAAACUGUUAGAGGAAACCCCAAGAGGUGCAGGCACUGAGCCUCUCAGGACAAUGACCUGGGGUCCCAGCUCCCCUGGAGGGGCCUCCUCAUGGUAAGUGAAUGCCAAGAGGUUAAGUUGGCCUGUGUUUCCGAGGUGGAAAUUCCAGGUCGCUGGCUUCAUUUGUCUUCUCUUUUAGAUUGUUUGGGGGUUGAUCACAGACCAAGAGUGACGAGUGAUGUCACCCUGUGACUCAUGGCUGGACCUUCUUGCCCCUAUUGUCUCAGCACAACAUUAUUCGACUUUUCCCUCAGCGUGGGUGGGCAGAGGAAAAGCCCUGUGGCUCUGGGGACUUGGGAUCCAGAGUUGAAGACCCUUCAGCUGGCUCUGCCCUGCCAGUGCCACAGAGUGCCAUGGCCCAGGAAGACAGGUUUUCUUCCAUCUAGGCCAGGCCAUCCAGUGGCCAUCCUCCGUGUCCUCCCGCCUCCUCCUGGUGUGACUUCUGAAAACCAAGAAUUUGUUCCUGUUGACUUUUUCUGUGCUAUGGACCAUUGUCCUCUCACCCAC
rnacentral:lncRNA from 1 species